rfam:Spirochaetes bacterium GWC1_61_12 gwc1_scaffold_6898, whole genome shotgun sequence.
CGGGUAGUAGCGCAGGGGUAGCGCGCUUGGUUCGGGACCAAGAGGUCGGGGGUUCAAUUCCCCCCUGCCCGA